GGGGAAAGGAAUCAAAAACGAAAGCUAUGUGAGGCACGAAAGGGAAGCAGCCACAGAAAGGGUUCGGUAGCGAGUAGUUGAUCGUGAUUGGGGAACGUCUCCGGGGUCGACGAGGCCGAAGAAACGAGGGGAAAGCAGCGAGGUUGCGCUCUUCCUCAUCGAGCUGCAAGAUGCGAAGAAAAGAGGAGGUNNNNNNNNNNNNNNNNNNNNNNNNNNNNNNNNNNNNGGUGGGAGCUUCGGUGGGGUUUGCUCGACGGAAGGAGAAGAGAAAGGUGCGAGAGCCUGCUUGGUCAUCGGUGGUAACAAGUGAGUGAAUGGGCCUGCUUCAGCAGUUAACCUGUUCUUUCUUCUUUCUCUCUUAUUUAUUUAUUUAUUUAUAUAUUUUUUUUGAAAGUAAUCAAUGGAGGAAAGAGUGAUAUUUGGGUUUGAUGUUUGAAAGGAGAAAGAAGGAAGAAAUCAGUAGGUGUUUUGUUGUUUCAUUCAAUAGGAAGAAGAAGAAGGAAAUCGAGUGUGGUUGUUUUCCCUUUGAUUGACUGACUUCACAAGAACUUUGGGGUGUUCUUGGCUGGAACGAAGGAGAAGAAGAAAGAAGAUGGGAUGUUGGUCACUUGUGUUUCAUUUGACAACUUUAAUUGAGAAAGGAAACACGUUUCCAUUGUGUUUGGAUUUGUCUAAAAAUUGUUUACUUUGUGUGCAGUUUUGGGUGUGUAAGAAUUAAUGGUUGUCAAAUUAGUGUAUCUAUGAAUCUUAUGGAGAGUACACACUCUAUUGUUCUAUCUUUGUAUUGUAUGGGUUGUUUGUGUAUAUAUUUCCAUACAUUGUUGGUCCUUUGGUGAAUAUGUUUAGACAUGUGUAUGUUUUUAUGUAUUUUUGUAACAAUUUCAUAUAUAAUGUAUAUGUAUUCAUUUUAUAGGUUAUAUAUGUGUAUCAUUUU
rnacentral:lncRNA from 1 species